GGCCUGCGCGGAAGAUGUAACGGGGCUAAACCAUGCACCGAAGCUGCGGCAGCGAACGUAUCACUUAAAGCGAUUCAGCGGAUGACGAUUGACGGAGCGAAGCGACGUCAAAGCGUAUACAAAGUCGAGUCGGUUUAAGGAUACGUUCGUUGGGUAGGGGAGCGUUCUGUAAGCCUGUGAAGGUGGCCUGUGAGGGUUGCUGG
rnacentral:rRNA from 1 species